CAAGCAGCAGGAGCUGCUUUUUGAUCUGCACUCCUUACGAACGGCCAAAUCCAUGCUUCUCACUGUACUAAAGCAAGUAGUUCCAUUACCAGAAAGCAUUCAGGGACUACCUGGCUGAAGUAAGAUGAAUGGAAUUUGGGGGUUGACCCUUCAAACAUUUCCUCAUGAGUAGAUUCUGCGCCACUUCCGAUACUUUUGUGCCAGUCAAGCAAAGCGGAUGGAGCAAAGACUGGUCACAACCCCAACACUGGGGAUUAUCCCAAUGUCAUGGGCAGGCAUAGAGCCAAUGAAGCUAGCCCCUGCAUCACCCUUUCUGAAGACCCUGGUGCAGAGGACAUAUCAGAGGUGCCUUUCCCGUGUAGACCCGGCAGAGAGAUGAGGGGUCAUCAACAGAAAUGCAUCAGGCUAAUGUGUUUUUUUUAGUUUUUUUAAAUGAAUGGUUGUAUUAAAAAAUAAUCUAGGGAAAGGAGGUGAUUAUUUUUUAGAGUCUAUUCAAAAAGCUAACA